GUCUCUGAUAGUUCAGUUGGUAGAGUAUGAGACUCUUAAUCUCAGGGUUGUGGGUUUGAGCCCCACAUUGGGCA